UUGCACAGGAACUAAGUUUACUUCCAGACAGCCAAUCCCAGGUACUAGAAACAUGGAACAGAAGAACUCUACGAAUAUGUGGUAAGGGUCAAAGAGUAGGACAAGCAAGAAACCAGUAUGAAGCAGGCAACAGGCAGAGCAAACCAUGUGCAGAAAAGACAGGACCAAUAUACGCUAUGAAGGAAGUUGCAAGCCAACAAGCCUGCUCCCACUUGCUCGCCUGAGAAACAGAACAAACCAACAAAAGAAACUACACCAGGCCAUGAAAGGUUAUCCUUCACUGGAUGGAAGCUAGAGAUUUUCUUUGGCAGAGGACAACUGGUGUGGUGUGCCAUGACAGCACCCUGCUAAUGUAGCUGGAAGUCAACCUAAAAUAAGAUCCCGGUGAAGUGUUUUUCUCUAGUCUCCAUCCUGAUUGAACUGGUGUAUGCUGGUUGCCACCUGUUUUGUGCCUGGUAUAAUAUUCAGGUACAUAGAUACAGAUUUAAGGCAUCAAUAAUGCCUUCCAAAAUCCCUCAAUAUCAAAAGGUCAUCCAGCUGAUGUUCCAGUACUUUUAAGAAUUAUUGGACAAAUUUCUGAACAGCAAAGGAAUCAUCAUGCUGAUGACAGGAUAACUCUAUACAUACCAUAAUGGACGUGUCAUUUUUAUGAAUUUGUAAAUUUCAUUCAGGUUCCACGUGCAAAAUAAUGAAUCUACAAAACCAGAACCAUAAAUUCUAAUCUUCACAAAGCAAUUAAUAAAUGCCUAUAACUUCCUCAGCUAUGACACAUAACUCCUUCUAGCAGAGGAGUAAGUCAUCACUUAAGUUUCCUAACAUCUUAUGUUAAGAUUAAGAACUAAUAAUCACUAAAUAGAGAUCUGUAUUACAUUCUGCAUUACCUGAAACUGCCUUUUAUCAAUUAUGGUAUGAUGAGUUUGAUCAUGUGUCAUUCCAUCUGGUUGCUUAUAUACACAUGCCAUAUGUUCCAAGUUAACAUUGCUGUUAUUUGUCGAUAUUACUUUCAUACCAAGGAUCCAUAGAACAUCAUGUUAACUUUAUGUUUUAGUUCAUCCCAGAGUUUAAAAACGGGGUCUAAGAGGAGGAUUACUUGCCCAUAUAAGUAUUCUAUGUUGAUGAGACUGUAAUCACAAUGUUAAAGGAGGACUUAUUUUUAACAAGAUGUUUGGAUGAGUUACUGCCAUAUCAACAUUAACAUCAUAUGGACUCUCUUCCUAGUACUGAUUUGAAAUAACCUUGCCACUAUACUACAACAGUGGGUUUUUAAAUUAAAAUAUUUGGUUGUGGCAAAGCUUCAUCCCACCAUCUUACAUUCCCUUUCCUUAUUCUAGGUUUGGAAACAGUCUAUGCUACUUUAGCAGUGAAAUCCCCCAAAAGAGAAUUUUCACAGUAUCUAUGAAAGUGAUCAAGGCACAAACUCAGUUCCUCAGUAAAGUUAUCCUCUACAAUAGCAGUGGCAUCCAGUGCCCAAAGGCAGAUAACACUAACAGGACAUUCUUAGCAAAACUCAUAAAGCCCAACCACCUAAGAUGUUAAGAUGAUUGGGUCCCAAAAGUAAUACCAUCAUAAAAACAUAUUUAUAUCCCGUUUAAAACAUUUCCCACAUAAAAAGACACCUUGCCUAAUAAGAAUAAUUUUAAAGACACAUAUAUUUUACAUAUUAAGUAUGUUCUGCUGCAUCGCACACGUGUUAAAUUUUGUGAAGUUGUAUGAAAGUGACCUGAAAUG